ensembl:lncRNA
CAGCAAAUCGCUGCUGAUCACAGCUAUAGUAUUACAGUUUCAAAGGUUGAGGAAAAAAAGAAUGAGGACACUCAAAGAAGGGAAAGUGACAGUGAAGAAAUAGAGGACAUGGCUAGAGAGGAGAGACAGGGACAGGUGACACUACCCAGUCAGCCAGCAGCAAGUCAAUCAGCAGCCAGUCAGCAUUCCAGUGAACCAUCAGCCAGUUACCUGGGUCUAUUAAAAAAAUUAAAGAGACAAGAAAAAAUAUUUAAAAAAAUGCAAAGGCAGCACUAAGAAAAAUAAAGAAUGAAAAUGCAGCUCUCAAAAAAACUAUUAAAAUUAGGGACAACAUUUUAAAGAAAUUUUUGUCAAAAGACCAAAUUAUGGCAUUAGGAAGACGAACCACGAAAGGUAUGAAACGGAGCAAUGAAACAAUUAAGAAGGCAUUAAAAAUUUGCUUUAGAGUGCAUUUUAAAGAAUUUAAUUAUUUAAUACGUGUAAUAAAGAACAAUAAUAGCCAACAAUAAUCCUCCACCUACCAAUCCAG